GUGUCAGCAGCCGCGGUAAUACGGAGGUGGCAAGCGUUGCUCGGAUUUACUGGGUGUAAAGGGCACGUAGGCGGUCCCGUAAGCCCUGCCUGAAAUGCUCUGGCUCAACCAGAGCUUGUGGCAGGGGACUGCAGGACUGGAGGGUGGAAGAGGCGAGCGGAAUUCCCGGUGUAAGGGUGAAAUCUGUAGAUAUCGGGAGGAACACCAGUGGCGAAAGCGGCUCGCUGGUCCACACCUGACGCUGAGGUGCGAAAGCUAGGGGAGCAAACAGGAUUAGAAACCCCAGUAGUCC
rnacentral:rRNA from 1 species